rnacentral:rRNA from 1 species
GAUGAACGCUGGCGGCGUGCUUAACACAUGCAAGUCGAACGGACGAUGAAGAGCUUGCUUUUCAAAGUUAGUGGCGGACGGGUGAGUAACGCGUGGGUAACCUGCCUCAUACAGGGGGAUAGCAGCUGGAAACGGCUGAUAAAACCGCAUAAGCGCACAGCAUCGCAUGAUGCAGUGUGAAAAACUCCGGUGGUAUGAGAUGGACCCGCGUCUGAUUAGCUAGUUGGUGAGGUAACGGCCCACCAAGGCGACGAUCAGUAGCCGGCCUGAGAGGGUGACCGGCCACAUUGGGACUGAGACACGGCCCAAACUCCUACGGGAGGCAGCAGUGGGGAAUAUUGCACAAUGGGGGAAACCCUGAUGCAGCGACGCCGCGUGAAGGAAGAAGUAUCUCGGUAUGUAAACUUCUAUCAGCAGGGAAGAUAA